rnacentral:rRNA from 1 species
GUCGAGCGCGAAAGUUUUCGGACUUAGUAAAGCGGCGGACGGGUGAGUAACGCGUGGGAAUCUGCCCAGUAGUGGGGGACAACAGCCGGAAACGGCUGCUAAUACCGCAUACGCCCUACGGGGGAAAGGGGGGGAUCUUCGGACCUCUCGCUAUUGGAUGAGCCCGCGUCGGAUUAGCUAGUUGGUAGGGUAAAGGCCUACCAAGGCUACGAUCCGUAACUGGUCUGAGAGGAUGAUCAGUCACACUGGAACUGAGACACGGUCCAGACNNNNNCGGGAGGCAGCNNNGGG